CAAGCUGUACUUGUACAGCGAAGUGGUUGAUGCCAUGCUUCCAGGAAAAGUCUCUAAGCUUCAGUUACACAGGAAUCGUACCCGAAACCGACACAGGUGGUCAGGUCGAGUAGACCAAGGCGCUUGAGAGAACUCUGCUGAAGGAACUAGGCAAAAUGGUACCGUAACUUCGGGAGAAGGUACGCUGUUGUUGGUGAUGGAACUCGCUUCCUGAGCUGACGACAGCCGCAGAAACCAGGCCGCUGCAACUGUUUAUUAAAAACAUAGCACUCUGCAAACACGAAAGUGGACGUAUAGGGUGUGAUGCCUGCCCGGUGCUGGAAGGUUAAUUGAUGGGGUUAGCGUAAGCGAAGCUCUUGAUCGAAGCCCCAGUAAACGGCGGCCGUAACUAUAACGGUCCUAAGGUAGCGAAAUUCCUUGUCGGGUAAGUUCCGACCUGCACGAAUGGCAUAAUGAUGGCGGCGCUGUCUCCAGCAGAGGCUCAGUGAAAUCGAAAUCGCUGUGAAGAUGCAGUGUACCCGCGGCUAGACGGAAAGACCCCGUGAACCUUUACUGCAGCUUGACACUGAACUUUGACCUUACUUGUGUAGGAUAGGUGGGAGGCUUUGAAGCUGGAACGCUAGUUCCAGUGGAGCCGUCCUUGAAAUACCACCCUGGUAAUGUUGAGGUUCUAACUCUGUCCCGUGAUCCGGGACGAGGACCGUGUCUGGUGGGUAGUUUGACUGGGGCGGUCUCCUCCUAAAGAGUAACGGAGGAGUACGAAGGUGCGCUCAGCGUGGUCGGAAAUCACGCGUAGAGUAUAAAGGCAAAAGCGCGCUUAACUGCGAGACCCACAAGUCGAGCAGGUACGAAAGUAGGUCUUAGUGAUCCGGUGGUUCUGUAUGGAAGGGCCAUCGCUCAACGGAUAAAAGGUACUCUGGGGAUAACAGGCUGAUACCGCCCAAGAGUUCAUAUCGACGGCGGUGUUUGGCACCUCGAUGUCGGCUCAUCUCAUCCUGGGGCUGAAGCAGGUCCCAAGGGUAUGGCUGUUCGCCAUUUAAAGAGGUACGCGAGCUGGGUUUAGAACGUCGUGAGACAGUUCGGUCCCUAUCUACCGUGGGCGCUGGAAAUUUGAGAGGAUCUGCUCCUAGUACGAGAGGACCAGAGUGGACGAACCUCUGGUGUACCGGUUGUGACGCCAGUCGCAUCGCCGGGUAGCUAUGUUCGGAAGGGAUAACCGCUGAAAGCAUCUAAGCGGGAAGCCUACCUCAAGAUAAGAUUUCCCUAGGACUUUAUGUCCUCUAAAGAGCCGUUCGAGACUAGGACGUUGAUAGGUUGGAUGUGGAAGCAUAGUGAUAUGUGAAGCUGACCAAUACUAAUUGCUCGUGAGGCUUGACUAU
rnacentral:rRNA from 1 species